GUUUUAAUAGUUUAAAAUAAAACAUUGGUCUUGUAAAUCAAAAAUAAAAAUUUUUUUUUUAAAACU
rnacentral:tRNA from 1 species